rnacentral:rRNA from 1 species
AUGAACGCUAGCGGCAGGCUAACACUGCAGUCGAGGGGCAGCACGAGUAGCAAUACUUGGUGGCGACCGGCGCACGGGUGCGUAACGCGUAUACAACCUACCUUAUAUAGGUGAAUAACCCGAAGAAAUUCGGACUAAUACACCGUAAGUAUUUAGACGGCAUCGUUUAGAUAUGAUAGAUUUAUCGAUAUAAGAUGGGUAUGCGUGACAUUAGGUAGUUGGUGGGGUAAAGGCUCACCAAGCCGACGAUGUCUAGGGGUUCUGAGAGGAAGGUCCCCCACACUGGUACUGAGACACGGACCAGACUCCUACGGGAGGCAGCAGUGAGGAAUAUUGGUCAAUGGGCGCAAGCCUGAACCAGCCAUGCCGCGUGCAGGAUGAAGGCUCUAUGAGUUGUAAACUGCUUUUAUACGAGAAUAAUGUGAGUUACGCGUAACUUUUUGAAUGUAUUGUAUGAAUAAGGACCGGCUAACUCCGUGCCAGCAGCCGCGGUAAUACGGAGGGUCCGAGCGUUAUCCGGAUUUAUUGGGUUUAAAGGGUGCGUAGGCGGGACGUUAAGUUAGUCGUUAAAUCAUCGGGCUCAACCCGGUAAUAGCGAUUGAUACUGGCGACCUAGAGAUUAGAUGCA